GAUGAACGCUAGCGGCAGGCUUAAUACAUGCAAGUCGAGGGGCAGCGCAGUGUAGCAAUACAUGGGCGGCGACCGGCAAACGGGUGCGGAACACGUACGCAACCUUCCUUUAAGUGGAGAAUAGCCCAGGGAAACUUGGAUUAAUACUUCGUAACAUUAUGAGAUGGCAUCAUCUUAUAAUUAUAGCUCCGGCGCCUAAAGAUGGGCGUGCGUCUGAUUAGGUAGUUGGCGGGGUAACGGCCCGCCAAGCCUGCGAUCUGUAGCUGGUCUGAGAGGACGACCAGCCACACUGGGACUGAGACACGGCCCAGACUCCUACGGGAGGCAGCAGUGGGGAAUUUUGGACAAUGGGCGCAAGCCUGAUCCAGCCAUUCCGCGUGCAGGACGAAGGCCUUCGGGUUGUAAACUGCUUUUGUACGGAACGAAAAGGCUCUGGUUAAUACCUGGGGCUCAUGACGGUACCGUAAGAAUAAGCACCGGCUAACUACGUGCCAGCCGCCGCAGUAA
rnacentral:rRNA from 1 species